GGCAGAUCAGUAGUUUUCUGGGAUUAUAAAGUAGGGGAUUAAUGCACAAAUGCAAAAAAUAAGUCCUCUUUUGCAACCCACAAGUCAUUGUUCAGAAUGACUUUUGAUAUAUGUAAGAAGAAAUAUU
rfam:Fukomys damarensis contig116893, whole genome shotgun sequence.